AUCCCAUCACUCUAAGCAUUUGUCCUGAGUCCCCUUUACCGUUUCAGAAGACCUUUCCCUUCUCCUCUCUCCUCUCUCUUUAUUCUCUACCAAAUUUUAUAAGACUCAAAAUAAAGUUAAAUCUGCACUUUUCACUUUUGCCUUUUUUAUGCAAGAAAGCUUGGGAUUCUUCGCACGCGUUUCUGAUCUCCCCAGCUUUUCUUCACCCCUUUGAAAAUUGGAACGGCUCUUUCACCAUUUUGAAGAUGCAAAAAUCCCGCCCAAAUCAGUCCUUGAGGAACCCUAGAAUCUCUCUAUAAAUACUUGCAAUCCAUACUAGUUUAAGAUCAAGCUUCAACCGCCAUUCUACUCAAAAAACAGAGAAAUUUUAGCUUUCUUUCUUACUUCUCCGUCUCUGUUUGUUCCUGGCAAUGCUUGGCAUUUUUCGGCGAUUUAUUGCCUUCCGGGUUAGCGAAUUCAAGGCCUGAGAUAGUCCCUUGAAGACGCCCCAGUUCACUGCACCGCAAAAGAUGGAGCGACAUGGAGUCUUUGCCCAUAUCCACACACAGAGUCAACAUAUCCCCUACUCUUAGAAUGCACCGGAUAGCAAGAAAAAUACGUUAAACGUUUGGGGACGUCUAUGACUUCCUUUUUCUUCCUUUUCUUUCCUUCUCAUCAUUCGUUAUAUUUUACCUUGUAUGAGUGUUGAUCUAUUUGUACGCUUUGGGAUUGUUCGUUAAAGCUCAUUUUUAACAUAUGAACUGGUAGCUAUUUGUUUAAGGAUUGUGUUGUAGUUGAUGGAUAACACAUUUUCUUAAGAUCUAGACGUGAAGACUUUAAAUUCAA